GACGAACGCUGGCGGCGUGCUUAACACAUGCAAGUCAGGCGAGAAAGCGGCUUCGGCCGUGAGUACAGCGGCGAACGGGUGAGUAACACGUGGGCAACCUGCCCCAGAGAUUGGGAUAACGUCCCGAAAGGGACGCUAAUACCGAAUAACGCGUGACCUGCCAGGUGGGUCACGCCAAAUGGUAGCCUCGGCCUCUGCUCUGGGAUGGGCCCGCGCCGGAUUAGCUUGUUGGUAGGGUAACGGCCUACCAAGGCGACGAUCCGUAGCUGGUCUGAGAGGACGAUCAGCCACACGGGGACUGAGACACGGCCCAGACUCCUACGGGAGGCAGCAGUGGGGAAUCUUGCGCAAUGGGCGAAAGCCUGACGCAGCAACGCCGCGUGAGCGAAGACGGCCUUCGGGUUGUAAAGCUCUGUCAGGAGGGACGAAGCCACUCGGGUGAAUAGCCCAGAGGGUGACGGUACCUCCAGAGGAAGCCCCGGCUAACUACGUGCCAGCAGCCGCAGUAA
rnacentral:rRNA from 1 species